CUGCUAUCCAGAAAGACCGAGGGACCGGGCCCGAUGACGUCUUGGCAACCUACCACGAGUAGGUGCCAACUCCCGUUUCACCGCGUUUUUGGUGGAAGAAGAUGACAG
rnacentral:ncRNA from 2 species